UACGGGGGGGAGCAAGCGUUGUUCGGAUUUAUUGGGCGUAAAGAGCGUGUAGGCGGCCAGCACAAGUCAGUUGUGAAAUCUCCGAGCUUAACUCGGAAAGGUCAACUGAUACUGUGCGGCUAGAGUGCGGAAGGGGCAACUGGAAUUCUUGGUGUAGCGGUGAGAUGCGCAGAUAUCAGGAGGAACACCGGUGGCGAAGGCGGGUCUCUGGGCAGUAACUGACGCUGAGGAGCGAAAGCGUGGGGAGCGAACAGG
rnacentral:rRNA from 1 species